AAGUCUGAUAAACAAGCCUACUUUCUCAAAGUUCUGUUCCUACCAACUGUAUGGGAUGAACAGGAAAAUCUGAUAAGUGUGUACUAUAAAUGUGGUAACGGUUUGACAUCUGUGAUAUUCUCUGAAGUUGCAGAUGCAGACCACUUGAGGCCUUGUGCCACCUCAAGCCAGAGCGACAUUAGUCCAAGUGGCAGCCAGGAAGAAGCUGGCCAAGACAGAGCAUCAGAAUCAGACCAAGAGCUGCCAUCCCUGCUUGAUGAGCCUGUGGCUUCUG